rnacentral:rRNA from 1 species
CGGCGUGCCUAAUACAUGCAAGUCGAACGCAUUGUGGUUGAAAUGAUAUGAAGAACUUGUUCAGAUUUGAUUUUCAACAUUGCAAUGAGUGGCGAACGGGUGAGUAACACGUGGGAAACCUACCUCUUAGCAGGGGAUAACAUUUGGAAACAAACGCUAAUACCGUAUAAUAAUUAAAACCGCAUGGUUUUAGUUUAAAAGAUGGUCUUGCUAUCACUAAGAGAUGGUCCCGCGGUGUAUUAGUUAGUUGGUGAGGUAAUGGCUCACCAAGACAAUGAUACAUAGCCGAGUUGAGAGACUGACCGGCCACAAUGGGACUGAGACACGGCCCAUACUCCUACGGGAGGCAGCAGUAGGGAAUCUUCCACAAUGGACGAAAGUCUGAUGGAGCAACGCCGCGUGUGUGAUGAAGGGUUUCGGCUCGUAAAACACUGUUGUAAGAGAAGAAUGACAUUGAGAGUAACUGUUCAAUGUGUGACGGUAUCUUACCAGAAAGGAACGGCUAAAUACGUG